rnacentral:rRNA from 1 species
AGCGAACGCUGGCGGCAGGCCUAACACAUGCAAGUCGAACGAACCUUUCGGGGUUAGUGGCGGACGGGUGAGUAACACGUGGGAACGUGCCUUUAGGUUCGGAAUAACUCAGGGAAACUUGUGCUAAUACCGAAUGUGCCCUUCGGGGGAAAGAUUAAUCGCCUUUAGAGCGGCCCGCGUCUGAUUAGCUAGUUGGUUGAGGUAAUGGUUCACCAAGGCGACGAUCAGUAGCUGGUCUGAGAGGAUGAUCAGCCACAUUGGGACUGAGACACGGACCAAACUCCUACGGGAGGCAGCAGUGGGGAAUCUUGCGCAAUGGGCGAAAGCCUGACGCAGCCAUGCCGCGUGAAUGAUGAAGGUCUUAGGAUUGUAAAAUUCUUUCACCGGGGACGAUAAUGACGGUACCCGGAGAAGAAGCCCCGGCUAACUUCGUG